rnacentral:rRNA from 1 species
AGUGGUGGACGGGUGAGUAACGCGUGAGAAUCUGCCUUGGGGUCGGGGACAACCACUGGAAACGGUGGCUAAUACCGGAUAAGCCGAUUGGUGAAAGAUUUAUUGCCCGAAGAGGAGCUCGCGUCUGAUUAGCUAGUUGGUGAGGUAAGAGCUCACCAAGGCAGCGAUCAGUAGCUGGUCUGAGAGGACGAUCAGCCACACUGGGACUGAGACACGGCCCAGACUCCUACGGGAGGCAGCAGUGGGGAAUUUUCCGCAAUGGGCGAAAGCCUGACGGAGCAAGACCGCGUGAGGGAGGAAGGCUCUUGGGUUGUAAACCUCUUUUCUCAGGGAAGAAGCUCUGACGGUACCUGAGGAAUCAGCCUCGGCUAACUCCGUGCCAGCAGCCGCGGUAAUACGGAGGAGGCAAGCGUUAUCCGGAAUUAUUGGGCGUAAAGCGUCCGCAGGUGGCGAUUCAAGUCUGCUGUCAAAGCACGGGGCUUAACUCCGUAAAGGCAGUGGAAACUGAAUAGCUAGAGUGCCGUAGGGGUAGAGGGAAUUCCCGGUGUAGCGGUGAAAUGCGUAGAGAUCGGGAAGAACAUCGGUGGCGAAAGCGCUCUACUGGACGGCAACUGACACUCAGGGACGAAAGCUAGGGGAGCGAAUGGGAUUAGAUACCCC